rnacentral:lncRNA from 1 species
UGCCAGAUGAGAAACCAAAAAAAAGUUUUUUGGAAGGCUUCUAAUCAUUUCCCUAUAAAAACUUAUCAUUAGAAACCUCCAAAUUAGAUACCCCUACUCAUAACUUUCGCCACCCUUGCAUGAUAAUUCAAAAUUCAAGCAAAGACAAAAAUGGUUUUGAGAACCGAGAAAGAGUACAACUAAUUGUAUGAAAUGGUAUAGAACGAAAUUCGAAAGCUCCUAACAGUUUCCCUAUACAAACAAGUUGUACUGUAAUGAGAAAUUACCAACCCUCUAGAUUUGGAUAUAAUUACUUGUAGCUUUCACUCUCCUUGCCUUUUCCCAGUUAAACAGGCUAUGCAAUGUCACAUUCUAUAUAUGGUAAAAGAAAACUAAUGAGUAAAUGUUGUUCAGAAAGUGCCAUCAGUAAAUGCUAUAUAUACUAAAUACCUAUUUUCUAGUAAUCGAGAAAUCCCUGAGGUCCUAGUAUUGCAGGAUAAGAGACUUGGUAGUUGGUGGAUAAUGGACCUGCCCCUCUAUCCUUCUCCACUAACAUACUAGGCUUUUGUCUGUGGCAGGUUUCAAACCCAUGAUGUGCUUCUUGUCCACACACAUCAUGCCUUGCAUUUUUAUCUCUAGACUGACAUCCUGGGGUGGAAGUAUAGAUACCUAUGAGACAUUUGUUUACUUAGUGAAUGAAACCUAGGAAAGCAAAAUACCAGAACUACUAAGUUUUUUUUAUUUGCAACCUCAAAAACCAAUUUCCUACUACAUGCCCAGCUACAGACUUAAUUUGGGGAAUUACCUGUUUCCAAGCCAGGCAAGUCAUUUGUUACCAUUAAGCACUGUGUAUUUGGCAUUGAAUGCUUCCAGAACAUGGUGACCUACACAUAGUAGACUAAUGUCAUGCUAGUGCAAUAAACACCCCG